GACGAACGCUGGCGGCGUGCUUAACACAUGCAAGUCGAACGGAAAGGCCCUGCUUUUGUGGGGUGCUCGAUUGGCGAACGGGUGCGUAACACGUGAGUAACCUGCCCUUGACUUUCGGAUAACUUCAGGUAACUGAGGCUAAUACCAGAUAGGAGCUCCUGCUGCAUGGUGUGGGUUGGAAAGUUUCGGCGGUUGGGGAUGGACUCGCGGCUUAGGAGCUUGUUGGUGGGGUAGUGGCUUCCCAAGGCUUUGGCGGGUAGCCAGCCUGAGAGGGUGACCGGGCACAUGGGGACUGGGAUAGGGCCCAGAGGCCUACGGGGGGCAGCGGUGGGAAACCUUGCACAAUGGGCCGAAGCCUGAUGCAACAACGCCGGGUGCGGGAUGACGGCCUUCGGGGUGUAAACCGCUUUCGCCUGUGACGAAGCGUGUGUGACGGUAAUGGGUAAAGAAGCACCGGCUAACUACGUG
rnacentral:rRNA from 1 species